CUCGACCUGAGCUCAGGCAAGA
rnacentral:misc_RNA from 1 species